GGAAUGUAACCCAGUGGUAGAGUGCUUGCUUAGCAUGCAUGAGGCCCUGGGUUCAAACCCCAGUACCA
rnacentral:tRNA from 1 species